AGCGAACGCUGGCGGCAGGCCUAACACAUGCAAGUCGAGCGCCCCGCAAGGGGAGCGGCAGACGGGAGAGUAACACGUGGGAACGUGCCCUUUGGUUCGGAACAACCCAGGGAAACUUGGGCUAAUACCGGAUAAGCCCUCACGGGGAAAGAUAUAUCGCCAAAGGAUCGGCCCGCGUCUGAUUAGCUAGUUGGUGGGGUAACGGCCCACCAAGGCGACGAUCAGUAGCUGGUCUGAGAGGAUGAUCAGCCUCACUGGGACUGAGACACGGCCCAGACUCCUACGGGAGGCAGCAGUGGGGAAUAUUGGACAAUGGGCGCAAGCCUGAUCCAGCCAUGCCGCGUGGGUGAUGAAGGCCCUAGGGUUGUAAAGCCCUUUCGGCGGGGAAGAUAAUGACGGUACCCGCAGAAGAAGCCCCGGCUAACUUCGUGCCAGCCGCCGCCGUAA
rnacentral:rRNA from 1 species